GUUGGAUAAGUCAGCAAGCAGCAGGCAACCGUGGAAACCUUUAAGUGAGAAGGAUUUUGGAGAAGUGAUCAUUGUUGGAAGGAAAACUGAAGCCCAGAGAAGUUGAUCAAUCUGCCCAGGGACACGCAGCGACAGAGGAGGUGAAGGUUUUCUCCUUGGAACAUUGAAGAGGAAAUAUGCGUUAGAAAUACGUCAAGUCAUGGGGCGCCUGGGUGGUUCACUCAGUUAAGCGUCUGACUACG